rnacentral:rRNA from 1 species
AUUGAACGCUGGCGGCAUGCUUUACACAUGCAAGUCGAACGGUAACAGGCCGCAAGGUGCUGACGAGUGGCGGACGGGUGAGUAAUGCAUCGGAACGUGCCCCGUCGUGGGGGAUAACUACUCGAAAGAGUAGCUAAUACCGCAUACGAUCUAUGGUUGAAAGCGGGGGACCGUAAGGCCUCGCGCGAUUGGAGCGGCCGAUGUCAGAUUAGGUAGUUGGUGGGGUAAAGGCUCACCAAGCCAACGAUCUGUAGCUGGUCUGAGAGGACGACCAGCCACACUGGGACUGAGACACGGCCCAGACUCCUACGGGAGGCAGCAGUGGGGAAUUUUGGACAAUGGGCGCAAGCCUGAUCCAGCAAUGCCGCGUGCAGGAAGAAGGCCUUCGGGUUGUAAACUGCUUUUGUACGGAACGAAACGGCUCUGGUUAAUACCCGGGGCUAAUGACGGUACCGUAAGAAUAAGCACCGGCUAACUACGUG